UGACCAGCAACUCCUAUCCCUACCUCCUCGUGGUACUGGCCGGGGUACGAGUAACCUUGGGGAAGA
rnacentral:ribozyme from 1 species